rnacentral:rRNA from 1 species
CAGUCGCCGCGGGAAUACGAAGGGUGCAAGCGUUACUCGGAAUUACUGGGCGUAAAGCGUGCGUAGGUGGUUGUUUAAGUCUGCUGUGAAAGCCCUGGGCUCAACCUGGGAAUUGCAGUGGAUACUGGGCAACUAGAGUAAGGUAGAGGAUAGUGGAAUUUCCGGUGUAGCAGUGAAAUGCGUAGAGAUCGGAAGGAACAUCUGUGGCGAAGGCGACUAUCUGGGCCAUUACUGACACUGAGGCACGAAAGCGUGGGGAGCAAACAGGAUUAGAUACCCCCGUAGUCCCUGUCUCUUAUAA